rnacentral:rRNA from 1 species
CCUGCANGUCGNGCGCCCCGCAAGGGGAGCGGCAGACGGGUGAGUAACGCGUGGGAACGUACCUUUUGCUACGGAAUAACUCAGGGAAACUUGUGCUAAUACCGUAUGUGCCCUUCGGGGGAAAGAUUUAUCGGCAAAGGAUCGGCCCGCGUUGGAUUAGCUAGUUGGUGAGGUAAAGGCUCACCAAGGCGACGAUCCAUAGCUGGUCUGAGAGGAUGAUCAGCCACACUGGGACUGAGACACGGCCCAGACUCCUACGGGAGGCAGCGGUGGGGAAUAUUGGCCAAUGGGCGCAAGCCUGAUCCAGCCAUGCCGCGUGAGUGAUGAAGGCCCUAGGGUUGUAAAGCUCUUUCACCGGUGAAGAUAAUGACGGUAACCGGAGAAGAAGCCCCGGCUAACUUCGUGCCAGCAGCCGCGGUAAUACGAAGGGGGCUAGCGUUGUUCGGAUUUACUGGGCGUAAAGCGCACGUAGGCGGACUUUUAAGUCAGGAGUGAAAUCCCGGGGCUCAACCCCGGAACUGCCUUUGAUACUGGAAGUCUUGAGUAUGGUAGANGUGAGUGGAAUUCCGAGUGUANAGGUGAAAUUCGUANAUUUNCGGANGAGCCCAGUGGCGAAGGCGCUCACUGGACAUUACUGACNCUGANGUGCGAAGCGUGGGGAGCAACAGGAUUA